AACCCUGGCGGCGAGCGGCGAACGGGUGAGUAACAUAUCGGAACGUACCCCGUCGUGGGGGAUAACACAGCGAAAGCUGUGCUAAUACCGCAUACGACCUGAGGGUGAAAGCGGGGGAUCGCAAGACCUCGCGCGAUGGGAGCGGCCGAUAUCGGAUUAGCUUGUUGGUGAGGUAAAAGGCUCACCAAGGCGACGAUCCGUAGCUGGUCUGAGAGGACGACCAGCCACACUGGAACUGAGACACGGUCCAGACUCCUACGGGAGGCAGCAGUGGGGAAUUUUGGACAAUGGGGGCAACCCUGAUCCAGCCAUUCCGCGUGAGUGAAGAAGGCCUUCGGGUUGUAAAGCUCUUUCAGCAGGAACGAAACGGUGGCCACUAAUACUGGCUACUAAUGACGGUACCUGAAGAAGAAGCACCGGCUAACUACGUGCCAGCAGCCGCGGUAAUACGUAGGGUGCGAGCGUUAAUCGGAAUUACUGGGCGUAAAGCGUGCGCAGGCGGUUCCAUAAGACAGAUGUGAAAUCCCCGGGCUUAACC
rnacentral:rRNA from 1 species